ensembl:lncRNA
UCUAUUCCACUUCAUCUAUUCCACUUCAUCUAUUCCACUUCAUCUGAUCCACUUCAUCUGAUCCACUUCGUCUAUUCCACUUCAUCUGAUCCACUUCAUCUGAUCCACUUCAUCUAUUCCACUUCAUCUGAUCCACUUCAUCUGAUCCACUUCAUCUGAUCCACUUCAUCAAAUGGGUUUUGUUAUUGCUUUAAUUGUUUUCUUUGUUUUCUGUUAUUUUUUUAAACAAAAACUGCUCUGGCCUUCACUCACGAAUAAACACACACAGACACACACAGACACACACACACACACACACACACACACACACCACACACACACACACACACACACACACACAGGUUAAAGAGCAUCUUUGUAAUGACACUGGCCUGUAUCUCAUGGGAAAUCAACAUUAGGCUGAGUGAAGACUGUGGUAUGACGCACUUUGUAGUCUGACACACAAAAACACACACACACACACACACACACACACACACACACACACACACACACACAAACACACAUACAUGCACUCACACAUUAACAUUAAGAAUGGGCUUAUUUUCAAACACAAUGCAACGAAAUACCUCCAUUCUGAUGCAUUCAUUUAGUACAAACUUACCUGCUCACACACACACACACACACGCACACGCACACGCACACACAUCAACCAUGUCGGUAGUCUGAGCGUGUGUGUGAGAGAAACUUAGUUGCUCAUGUUACACUGAAGCCUUUUAUCUGUGACCCAGAGAGCAUCGGAGCAUCGGAGCAUCGUCCCGGCAACAGACGUGAAGAUGACAUGAUGACAGCGCACUUUGUGUGUGUGUAUGUGUGUGUGUGUGUGUGUGUGUGUGUGUGUGUGAGCCAGAUAGAGACAGGUGGACUUUCAAACAUUCAAACAAACUCCUGUUACACUCGAUUCUCUGCAACAAGCUGAUUUCCUUUAAAGCAGAAACAGAAAUCCUAUUUCUUUCAUCGAGGUCAUUGGUCACAUCACCGUUUUAAUUCAUUUUUAAUCACCCAGGGUUUCAAAUCGGGUUUGAAUACAUGUAGCGAUGUUAGUUAACAACCGGAUCCGCUUCAAGUCCAAACAAUGAUGUCAGCCAGUAGACAGGUUGGAAUGCGAGUUUAAUGCUUUAAUCAGGACCGUCCUGUGGUGCCGGACAUAUGAGGACAUGUUGGGAAACCCGUUGUUCUGUUUUCCUGGACGGUGAGCCGUCUGCAAAACUUACCGUAUGUUUGUUCACCUCUGACGUCACGGGAAACCAGCCGAUUGGGGCAGAUUUCAACCUCGGCACCGCGAAACCCGGGAAGCCUCGGUGCGUUUAUGGACACUUAACGCCUCCGUAUUUGGGAUCAAGCUUUCUGUUUGGCUUUCGCUUCCCUGCUCGGAGCCACGGACACGAGCGGCGAGCGGGAGACCUUCCCGCUGCUUCUCAACAAGAAACACGUGAACGCUUUAACCAAAGAGGCACACUGCAUUGAUCCCCGUGACUCAUUCACUGGGGCCGUGUUUGACCUUUGACCUGCAUCGAAGCAGCAGGAGGCUACUGUCCCCGUGGAGACGUAGUGGUCCAGUCCAAUGGCGUCCUGCAGCCCACCUUCCACCUCUGUGCGUGUGCUGUGACCACUGCAUGCACGGCGAGGACGUCAGCACUGCAUCGGGUUCUUUCCACUCUUUUUUAUUACUCAGCGUGACCUUUGCGAAAGACAGAAGUGCAGUGGACGUUCACGCGGGAUUCGUGUUCGUUAGUCACGGGCGGCUCGGCCUCUCAACAGCCGGCGUAGGAGCACACGGAGGAAAAGCCCGUUUGCUUGUGCGGUUUGUUUGUUUUCAUGAUGGGAAGAGAACUGAAAGUGUUAAACAACCAUUUGAGCGGUGAGUCACGGCUGAAGUGAAAACCCAACGACGUGAAGACGUUAAUGCUGACUCGUUGGAUAUCAGCAGGAAAGCUGAUAAGACAAAUGAGAAAUAUCUUGUUCUACAAGAUGAUUUAUGUAUUUUUAACCUGCAGACAAAUACUCAUUUGAUGUGGUUCAACAUUCUGUCAUUUCAGCUGCAGGUAAAGUGAUAAUAACCACAUAGUUCUACCGAGUGAAACAUGAUAAUUCUUUGUUUUUAACCACAGAUGAAGCGUAUGUGGAGAGAGACGUUCUUCUUCCUCUUCGCACGGCCACACGGAGAGAGAAACUGAAAUGCACCAAUGUCACUGCUUUUGCUCUUAUUCUCAAAACCACAAUAUUCCUUAUUUACCUGAAUGAAUAUUCCCGUUAACGCGAGGCCGUGCACAUUCCCAAGACCCUAAAUAAACCAGUGACGUGUAUGUUCACCAGCUAAUUACCAGUUCACCAGCUACGUUACCAGUUCACCAGCUACUUCACCAGUUCACCAGCUACGUUACCAGUUAACCAGCUACGUUACCAGUUUACCAGCUACGUUACCAGUUAACCAGCUACAUUACCAGUUUACCAGCUACGUUACCAGUUCACCAGUUACUUUACCAGUUUACUGCUCUACACAUUAAAACAAUAUCAGAAUAUCCUAAAGCCAACGAACGGAGAAAAACGGUAAAGGAGCUUUAGUUUCUGACCAACACGCCGCCUCGGCGCUUUACCGAAUACACCGACCACAACAGAUGGGACCCCCCCUUCCCCCCGACACACACACACACACACACACAAGCUUUCCAACACAUGUUACCUCUUUUCGUCAGGGCGGCUUUAGACCCUUAUUGCCACAGUCAAUUAGUCCGUCUGACAGGACUAAUCAGCUCUCACACACACACACACACACACACACACACACACACACACACACACACACACACAAACACACACACAUCUAAACUACUCUUAUAUAAGACUUGUUGUGUGAACUAACAGAAUUCCCAAACUGUGUUGCGGUGUGCGUGUGUCUGUGUGUGUGUGUGUGUCUGUGUGUGUGUGUGUCUGUGUGUGUUGUCAGAAACAAGCUGUGAUGUCUUUUGUUUCUUUAUCCGUCACUUCACACGUACUCAACGUCUUUGUGGUGCACGUACGGAGGAACAGGAGGAAGUGGGAUUAUUGCAGCAAAAAAUGAGACGCACGUGUGACGGAGCAGCUAAUAAACUGCAUAUUAAUGUAAAAACAUGACAUGAAGUGAGGUGACACCCUUUUACUGCUGCAUUUUCUUUCUCAGCUAAAUGUUGAGUUUGAGUCAACAUGAAUGUCAGAAAAGUGAUUUUAGUUGAAUAUUACAUAAGCUAUUUAGUGGCUUUAAUUGUUAAUAUUCGUUGUUGUUGUUUUUUACAUGUGUGUGUGUGUUUCAAACAUCCCUGAAUCUUAUACUUCAGUAACAGCUUCACUCACGUAGCUCCAACGUUAUCAACGUGUCCUUUUAAACUCUGCAUAUGACUGUGAUGCGAAGUGUUUUCCUUCUGUACGUCUAGUAGCCGCAACAUCUGUACCUGCGCACGGAUCCGCCCCGAGCAGAUGCGUCACGCGUGAACUAGUGCUGCUCUCAGGUGACGACGCCGUCAGCGCCGUCGGGCUCCUCUGCCUCGGUUUGCAGCGAGGAGAGAAAAAGCUUUUAACAAGCAACACUGAAAUCGAUCCCCCAAACCUCACAGGUCGAAUACUGUCACUUAACAGCAGCCGUACGGAAUGUGGAAGCCACUACAGGUGAAUAAAACACCUAAAUGAUGAUUUUGGACAUUUCCUCUCCUCUAGUCUGAAUGGAAACAGAAGAAAACAUAUGUGCUUAUUAGCUUUUGCUAUUUGCCUUCAUUCCUUUUGAUUAUUUUCUUUUUGUUGUUGUUGUUCCAUCCCAAAGCCAGUGUACAUUUGUUAAUGCAGACUUCAGUAUGCAGCACGGGGUCCAACCCCUAAAGCCAAGCCCACCACAUGUGGACAUAAGCCCCCCCCCCCCACCCCCCCAUCCAAUUAUUGCAGAGUUCCCUGAUGAAAUGCAGGCUGAUUUGCAUGAAGGGAUUGUAUUCAUAUUCAUACGCACAAUGCUGCAGUUCAGCCGCACCGAGCUGCUUCUAAUCAGCUUCAGCAGCCACGGCCUGUAAAGUGGUUUGUUUCCAGUCAGAGGGCUCAGUCAGCACCGAGACCACACACACACACACACACACACACACACACACGCAGCAAUCUGACUUCCUCUCUUCAGGCCACUGUCUCUCUCUGCUUUCUGAGCGUCUGACUGAUCGAGAGAAAACGUUCACUUUCAACACACUUUUCACUUUCGUCUUUCUGCUGGCGGCUGGAGGAGAAGAAUCAAGGGGAGAGACGGGAUGGUCCUGCUUCAUUUAAUCCCCUCCACGUUUUACCUACCGCACCCCUUACACGCAUUCACAUGUCGUCGCAGCCGUGAAGCGAAAAGGGGGGUGAAAGGGUGACUGAAAGCUUGACAUCUUCUCGAGUUUGGACGGAGACAAACAGUCGUUGUCACGAUACAAAGUCCGCGCAGACACGCCGCGUCAGCAGAAUAUACUCUGCUGUUUGGCUCUUAAUCCGAUCCAGAAAUGCAGAACUCCUGCAAGGUUUGCCAGCUUGGCACAGAAAGUCGGACUACGAUCGGCUUUACGGUGAAUAGUGUUCCGUUAAAUCAUCUCUCAGCGAGGUCGGAUCCACAGACGCAUUGCACGGUUCCUAGUGUGUAAGAUAACUUUCAGAGCGCAUGUCGUUAUUCAUUCUAGAAACGUGGCAUCAGAUAAAAAUGAAGACCCUCCCACGUUUGACCGUGUUGUUUUUGAGGGCCUCUGUGUUUCUACUCAUGAAUAAAAAGAGCUGAACGUAAAGAACCGAGCGGCAUCAACACAACUCGCCAGUUAUGAUCAGGAGGAAGAAAAGAGAAAGUAACACAACAUGUUUGUGUUGAUUCUGUUGAUGUUUUCUGUUCAGGGGCUGCACGCAAGAAGCCUCCAGGUGGUCGAAGCUUGUCACAACCAAACUUCACCUUUAUGAUUUGAACCAAAUUUCAUUUAUUGUGACUUUCUGUCCGCACUCUUGGAAAGCUGUGUGAUGAAUUACAUCCGAGAGCGAUUUGUGUGCUUUCAGGGAGUGAAAUCUAAACUCAUUAAAGUCAAUUCAACAAAAAAAUAUGUGUACUCUAAUUUUUUUUUUUUUACUCAAAACUGAUGAGGCCUUUAAACUCAAUCUGUCCAUUGGUGCGCUGUGGGAAACGUGUUAAAGCGAUUCAAAGAGACGAUUUAUUAGGAUUACAAAACCUACAAAUAAUACUCUUAAAAGGCACCAGACUCCAGUCGGAUAUCCGUCAAAAUACACUUCACUCAAAUGUUCCACUCUGCCAACAAUCAUACAUCUGGUUUGAGAGUUUGAAGGAGGAUCAUAAGUUACUAAACGUUUCCACAGUUCAGUAAAAACAAAAACAAGUCCAGCGCGUCACUUUCAGGGGCUUUUCCAGAAGUUUAAGAUAUUUCUGUAAUUUUACAGACUUCUCUUCCUGAAAAAACAGUCAUGCAGGCGCAUGGUUCCCAACCAGUGGGUCAGGGGCCCCGCGGGGGCCUUGAGGAUGGUCGCGGCGGGCCCCUGGAAGGAGCCACCCCAGAAAUUUGUGUGACUUGAUCGCAGGUUUCACUUCCUCCGCGACGAUCUGUUUAUUAACCACGAAGAUGGAAAUCGUAUGUAACGAGAGACGUGAGUCCGGCUCCGCGUCCUCGACUAAAUGAAGGCGACUUCUGACGGGGGGGCGGGGGGCGCUACCACUACGGCCCGCUGAGCGUUGUGCUCAACAUACGCUUCGCAAAAGGAAGGAAACACUUUCUGCUGUAUAUUGGGGGGGGACAGAUUGAUAUUUUCUCAUUAUUGGGGGACACACCGACCCCCUCC